CCAAGUGCGCUAAAGCGGUAAAUAACACGUGUACUUAAGCACUAAAAACUAUAUAAUGUAUGUAAGGAGAAGAUAAACUUCAUAAUAAAUUAUAAAGUGAAAAAACGAAAUUCUAUUUCUAACACGCAAAGGGAAGAAAAUAUGGCUGAAGCUAUUAAGUUUGUUUAUGUUAUAAUUAUCUUUUUUUCCCUAUUUCUUAUUGCAAUGAACGUUGAUGCGGAGAUUAUGUGUAGUGACGUUUCUGAUUGUCCAAAUGAAAUAUCUACAUGCGCUGGUGAUAUGGAAGUGAAGUGUUAUAGGUUUAAGUUGGGUUUCUUCUCUUUCGUUUAUCCUUAUCGCGUUUGUGUAUGUUAUGGAGAGAAGUCCUUAUUCCUGAUCUCAUAAACUACUCCUUCUGUCCUAAAAUAUAAGGAAAAGUUGGUCAAACAAAGUUGAUGUAUUUAGUCCAAAUUUUUAACCAAAUACAUCAACUUUGUUGGACCAAUUUUCCCUUAUAUUUUGGGACGAAAGGAGUAUCAUUUAAUUAUUGUUUUCGCCCAAUAAAAUUACUAAGACACAAUUUAAAUCUCUUUUUCUUGUGUUUUUUUACCACGUUCAUAAACGUGUUAUGAUUCUCUACCUUAUGGAACCUAUGUAUUAUGGAACUAAUAAUUUUACGAUGUUCAAGUUUUACUUC